CACGUAGGAGGCGAGCGUUGUCCGGAAUCAUUGGGCGUAAAGAGCGCGCAGGCGGCUUGGCAAGUCGGGUGUGAAAUCCCGGGGCUCAACCCCGUGACUGCAUUCGAUACUGUCAGGCUAGAGGUAGGUAGGGGAGAUCGGAAUUCCUGGUGUAGCGGUGAAAUGCGCAGAUAUCAGGAGGAACACCGGUGGCGAAGGCGGCUCUCUGGGACGGUACUGACGCUGAGACGCGAAAGCGUGGGGAGCGAACAGG
rnacentral:rRNA from 1 species